rnacentral:piRNA from 1 species
UGGGCCAUGCUUGUGAAGUGAUGUGUGUC